CCUACGGGAGGCAGCAGUGGGGAAUCUUGCGCAAUGGGGGCAACCCUGACGCAGCAACGCCGCGUGAUUGAAGAAGGCCUUCGGGUUGUAAAGAUCUUUAAUCGGGGACGAAUUUUGACGGUACCCGAAGAAUAAGCUCCGGCUAACUACGUGCCAGCAGCCGCGGUAAUACGUAGGGAGCAAGCGUUAUCCGGAUUUACUGGGUGUAAAGGGCGUGUAGGCGGGCAUGCAAGCCAGAAGUGAAAUCUGGGGGCUUAACCCCCAAACUGCUUUUGGAACUGCGUGUCUAGAGUGUGCGAGAGGUAUGCGGAAUGCGUGGUGUAGCGGUGAAAUGCAUAGAUAUCACGCAGAACCCCGAUUGCGAAGGCAGCAUACCGGUGCACAACUGACGCUCAGGCACGAAAGCGUGGGUAUCGAACAGGAUUAGAUACCCGAGUAGUC
rnacentral:rRNA from 1 species